rnacentral:lncRNA from 1 species
GAACAAUCCAAACUAUUAAUCUUCAAUACCGCUUUGUACUUACGAUCUUGUAUCCACUGACUGUCUUGUUAGAUUAACCCAAUAAAUUUCAUUCACUCCGCAUACUCAAUCCUAUAGACAUCCUUUUAAUCCUUCAAUCACAGACGUAACUCGAUUUCACAAAACAGUCAAGAGUAUUCAAACCCACUUCAUUAAAAAUCCCGAUUCACCAUUACAAUACUGACUUCAGCAACGAUUGCCUCAGUCUUCUCAAAACUCUACGAAGAAGAAAAAUCCAAAUUUUCUAUCUUUCCUUCCCCGA